UACGUAGGGUGCGAGCGUUAAUCGGAAUUACUGGGCGUAAAGCGUGCGCAGGCGGUUUUGCAAGACAGAUGUGAAAUCCCCGGGCUUAACCUGGGAACCGCAUUUGUGACUGCAUAGCUGGAGUACGGCAGAGGGGGAUGGAAUUCCGCGUGUAGCAGUGAAAUGCGUAGAUAUGCGGAGGAACACCGAUGGCGAAGGCAGUCCCCUGGGCCUGUACUGACGCUCAUGCACGAAAGCGUGGGGAGCAAACAGG
rnacentral:rRNA from 1 species